GGGACUGUAGCUCAAUUGGUAGAGCAGUGGACUCUUAAUCCAUUUGUUCGGGGUUCGAGUCCCCGCAGUCCUA
rnacentral:tRNA from 1 species